rfam:Puccinia graminis f. sp. tritici CRL 75-36-700-3 supercont2.139 genomic scaffold, whole genome shotgun sequence.
GGCUGCCUAGCGCAAUGGUCAACGCGUCUGCCUACGAUGGAUAUCCACCGGGUUCAAUGUUCCGGAUUACACUGGAGUAGCAGAAGAUUCCAGGUUCGAGUCCUGGGGUGGUCG